rnacentral:tRNA from 1 species
GCCCUCGGGGUGUGAUGGAUUCGCACUCGACCCUCCGAAGGUCGCGGACCAGGUUCGAUUCCUGGCGAGGGCA